AGUCGUUUGAUUUUAGUCGUUUAGUUUAGUGACUUUGCGGUUGUUUGAUUUUGGAUUUUUAGUUUAGCGACAUUGCGGUCGUUUGAUUUUGGCUAUUUUAGUUUAACAACUUUGCAGUCAUUUGAUUUUGGCUAUUUAGUUUAGCGACUUUACGGUCGUUUGAAUUUGGGUUGUUUAGUUUAAUGACUUUGCGAUCGUUUGAAUUUGGGUUUAGUUUAACGACUUUAUGGUCAUUUGAAUUUGGGUUUAGUUUAGCAAUUUUACGGUCGUUUGAAUUUGGGUGUAGUUUAACGACUUCAUGAUCGUUUGAAUUUAGUUGUUUAGUUUAACGACUCUACAGUCGUAAGUUUUAUUUGUGGACUUUGGGUUUUGGUGUUUUAUUUGUGGAUUUUCGGUUAUGAGUUUUAUUUGUGGACAUUGGGUUUUGGGGUUUUAUUUGUGGACUUUCGGUUUUGGAGUUUUUUUGUGGACUUUCGGUUUUGGGGUUUUAUUUGUGGACUUUGGGUUUUGGCUUUUAUUUGUGGACUUUGGGUUUUAUUUCUUGCCUGAAAUAGACUGGACUUUUACUUAUGUUGGAUUCAGGUCAAGUUGGCUUGAACUUUUUGUAUUUGAUUUGGGUUCGGCGGCCUUAGGUUUUCACUUGGUUUAUCCUUUUCAUGUUUGGUUUUGGUCGACCGUUAUGCUUUGGUUCAGAACCCGUUGUGACUUUAGUUAGGUCGAACCCUUAUGAUGUAGUUCGAGAUCCCUUUAAAUUUAAUUUGGAUCAGGUCCUCUAUGGUUUGGUUCAACAUGGACCCUCUUAUACUUCAAUUAGCUUCGUAUCGAAACUUUAUGAUUUGGUUCGAGACUAAUAUGUAUUUGAUUCGGGUUGAGCUCUUGUGGUUCGCCUUGGCUUGGAACCCUUAUGCAUUUGGUUUGGGCCGAAUCGACUUCUUGCUCUCUCUAAGUUCGAUUUAGAUUGAACUGACUUUGUUUCAAGUUGAAUCCUUCAUGACUUGGUUUAGGUCGAAUCGGCUUGUAGUUCGGUUCAACUUGGCUCAGACCUCCUGUGAUUUAGUUCAGGUUGAAACCACUUUGGUUUAAGUUGAAUCCUUUAUGGUUCGGUUUAGACCGGAUCCACUUCGGUUCAAGUCAAAUCCUUUAUAGUUCGGUUCGGGUUGGAUCCACUUUGGCUCAAGUUGAGUCCUUUAUGGUUUAGUUUAGGUCGGAUCCACUUCGGUUCAAGAUGAAUCCUUUCUGGUUCGGUUCGGACCGGAUCCACUUCGGUUCAAGUCGAAUACUUUAUGGUUUGAUUCGAAUCAAAUCCACUUUGGUUCGAGUUGAAUCCUUUAUGGUUGGGUUCAGACCUAAUCUGGUUCGGUUCGAAUUGAAUCCUUUAUGGUUCGGUUCGGAUUGGAUCCACUUCGGUUCAAGUCGAAUUCUUUAUAGUUCGAUUCGGACAGGAUCACUUCGGUUCAAGCCGAAUCUUUUAUAGCUUGGUUUAGAUCAGAUCCACUUCGGUUCAAGUCAAAUCCUUUAUGGUUCGGUUCGGAUUGGAUCCAUUUUGGUUCGAGUCAAAUCCUUUAUGGUUGGGUUCGGAUCGGAUCCACUUCGAUUCAAGUCGAAUCCUUUGUAGUUCGGUUCGGGUUGGAUCCACUUCAGUUCAAAUCAAAUCUUUUGUGGUUUGGUUCAGGUCAGAUCCAUUUAGGUUCAAGUCGAUUCCUUUGUGGUUCGAUUCGGGUCCAAUCCAUUUGGGUUCAAGUCGAAUCCUUUAUGGUUCAGUUCAAAUCAGAUCCACUUCGGUUCAAGUCGAAUCCUUUAUGGUUCAAUUCAAAUUGAAUCUAAUUAGGUUCAAAUUGAAUCCUUUAUGGUUCAGUUCAAAUCGGAUCCACUUCGGUUCAAGUCGAAUCCUUUAUGGUUCAGUUCAGAUCGGAUCCACUUCGGUUCACGUCGAAUUCUUUAUGGUUCGGUUCAGAUCGGAUCCACUUGUCACGCCCCGGAUUACUCGUUUCCCCGGGCUCGCAAACAGACCCGCCGUAUACCUAGGUAUUUUCCCUGUAUACGAAGCAAAGAAGUAGAAGUACCUGUAAUCAUACAAUACUACAAAAAGUAGUAUAGAGCAACUAGGAAAAUAAACCAUAAAUAUAAACUGCGGUUCAAUACAUACAUGUCAUCAGGGUAUACAAAAACUCGCGCUGGCGAGAUAACAACAACUGUAUGUAAAGACCCAAAAACUACAACUACCUGUAGCUGGUGCUCCUCUAUGAAAGUUUUGAGUAGCCCAAGGAUCUAUCUAGAUUGUAUCUAUCACCUAGAGGGGGGGGUGAAUAGGUGACCGGCCAAAAAACCACAAAUCUCGAUGCAAUAAAAAUAAAUACGGAAAAUAAAAAACACACCGAGAUUUACGUGGGAAAACUCCAAACUCGGAGUAAAAAACCCACGGGACCAACACGCGAUAACAAUCCACUAAGAAUAAAAGAUUACAAGGUGAUUUACCGAAUCCACGGACUCAAACCUCUCUUUUAUCUUCUCCGGAUCUCGCGCACACCAACGGGUUGUCCACGCCCCACGUCCGAAUCCACGAACGUCACGUCCCGAAUCCACGAAACGUCACCACUUCGUAUCCACGAAGCCUCGAUCACGUCGAAUCCACGACGCCCACUCGAAUCCACGAGCUACGAUCCGAAUCCACGAAACCGUCUUCGUUCACGCCAAUCCACGACGCCGUUCAUGAAGAGCAUCAUGUGUAUGGUGAUCCUUCGCUUAGGAGCUAUCGUAGAAAACCAGGGAAUAGAACUCCAAGCGAAGCGAGAUCAAAUCGACAUAUAAUAUCAAAUUUCAAUAUCUCGAUUUGAUCUAAAAGAGGCUUUUUGUAGAAAAUAGGUUUAAGAUGAAAUCCGAGCCUCUAGGUUGUUUCUCAAACAUGUAUUCUUAUGAUGCUUGAUGUGUAUAGAGAAGCCCAAUAGCUUAUUUAUAGACUUAGAAUCAAUUGGAGUCGGAUUAGAAAGUUUCACGAUUCUUAACUGUGUACCGGUACACUUUAGGCUGUCACCGGUUACACAAUGACGGAACGAAAAACCUGACGAAACAGUAAAACCGGUUACACCCUUGAUGGUCGUACCGGUACACAUUUUGUACCGGUACACUUCUGAUGCUGUACCGGUACACUUUGCAAAUUUUCGCCGUUUCGGGUUUUGCAAAGUUCCGAUGCACUUUCUAAUCCGUUAGACAAUGAUAUUAUGAUUCUAAUGUCUAUAACUAAGUAUGAAUCACCAUAAUCAUGAAUUAACACUUUACCUGGACAUCGUGAUUCACGGUGUGAGUUAUUUUCCAACUUCUUCGAAAUCUUGAAUUCUUCGAUCUUCGACAAUCACGCACCGAUUCUUCAAGACUCCGACUCACUUCACGAAACUUGCCAAUACACACGACUUAACACUCUAGCCCUGCGACUCG
rnacentral:lncRNA from 1 species